rnacentral:lncRNA from 1 species
GGUUUACUUAGCACCAACUAUGAGAAGAGUGAAUUUUAAACAAAUAAUCUAAGUAACGUUGAGAGCUUUUACCCUCAUAAAAGAACACACUACUUUAAACCACUUCAGUUCAUUUCACUGUGAUCAGAUCCUGAGAGUGGCAGGAUAAUUCUUUGGGAAGGAUGACUGAGAUCAUGCUUACAUUUUGUCUUUUACGAUACCAGUUGCCUUAUGCUGCCCAGGACUUCCCAGAGACUCUAAACAAAGCUCCUCUGACAUUUGGUAAGAUUUCAUUUGGAUGCUUAAAACUGUCUUCAUUACUGUUUCCAGAACCAUGGUAUUCUUUCCAAGAAAUCUUACUGCUUAGAAGAAGGAACUUUGGUCUGGGAGCCUGGAAGUCUAUGUUCGUAUUUUAAUCAAGGAAUAAGCAGUGCUGACUCGGACAGCAGAAAGGCUAAUACAAAGUAUUUUAUCGCAAGUGGUCUCUGGCUAAUGUUGGAAGGGUAUGCAAACUUAUUUCCACCUCCGCAACUACUAACAUCAGGAAGGAUAGCAGAAAUUUCUCUAGUCAUAUCCAAAGAGCAACGAAAAGACUUGUAGGUGUAAUAAACUUCACUGAUGAAGAGGUCUAUAUCA